UUCUGCAGAGCCUUCAACAAUGGUGUCCUAAAGCUACUUAAAACAUAACUCCAUUGCUUGUUUUGUUUCCCCCCACCCAGGACAGUGGGGCUUGUUUCCCAGAUAGUUAAUCAUCCGAGGGACGCUACUCAAGUUAUUCUUCCAAGAACAGGAGGGAUCAUCUAAAGAAGAGAGAAUCCUGGACCUGGUGGGCUGUGUUCUCCGGGAAAGCAAUCCCAGCUUAUGCUCUGUGAAACUCACGGUGAGGACACAGCAAGAAAGCAGGCAUCUACAAGCCAG